rnacentral:rRNA from 1 species
AGUGAACGCUGGCGGUAGGCCUAACACAUGCAAGUCGAACGGCAGCACAGUAAGAGCUUGCUCUUACGGGUGGCGAGUGGCGGACGGGUGAGGAAUACAUCGGAAUCUACUUUUUCGUGGGGGAUAACGUAGGGAAACUUACGCUAAUACCGCAUACGACCUACGGGUGAAAGCAGGGGAUCUUCGGACCUUGCGCGAUUGAAUGAGCCGAUGUUGGAUUAGCUAGUUGGCGGGGUAAAGGCCCACCAAGGCGACGAUCCGUAGCUGGUCUGAGAGGAUGAUCAGCCACACUGGAACUGAGACACAGUCCAGACUCCUACGGGAGGCAGCAGUGGGGAAUAUUGGACAAUGGGCGCAAGCCUGAUCCAGCCAUACCGCGUGGGUGAAGAAGGCCUUCGGGUUGUAAAGCCCUUUUGUUGGGAAAGAAAAGCAGCAGGUUAAUACCCCGCUGUUCUGACGGUACCCAAAGAAUAAGCACCGGCUAACUUCGUG